GAAGCACACACACUCCAAAAGUUGCUGGGUUAUUUCUGUAACCACAUUUAUAGGUUAUUUGUGCUGGGUCACAAUUCUGGGUUAUUUGAUAAACUGUGAACAUAUUGUUGGGUUGUCAAGGUCAAGUGCCUUUAGACAAUCUGAACCUCUAUUUGGGUUAAUGUGACCCAGCGUAUGGGUCAAAUAUUUUCCCGCUCUUUCAUCUUUCUAGAACUUUCUACAGACAUCUGACUCCUGCAGUUAGAAGCCUUAACUGGACAGCACACAGAGCAAUAUAAAAUAGUUGAUGCAGAUGAACUACUUUGAGGGACAUUAACUGAGUGGCUGCUGGAGACCUGGUAGAGACAGUUAAAGGUGGGGAGCAACCUGAUGGAAUCAACCAGUCCUACAAAAUCUGGGCCUCAAGGAUGAAACGACAACUUCCCAGGCUUUCUGCAUUUAUGACUGAAUUAUUCCUGGAGGCUGUUUUUGAAUGAUCUUUUGGUUUUUGAAGUGACCUACAAUAAACAAAGAGGUUCACCAGUACCUAGUGUACUGUAUUAAAGGACAAGAAAUCGCUGAGGUGCUAGGAAGGUAUUUUAAAGGAAAUAAUUUAAAUAAAAUAUUUGUGCAAAUGAAAUUAAAUACUCAGAUUACUUUCUUGGUAUUGUGUUGUCUGUUGUUGCAAUGUUGAGUAUUAUUGUUAUUUAUGUCAGUGUUUAUUAUGUCACAUUAUAUUUGUAUAUUCUUGAUUAGAUUUACAGCUUAGGCAAGCCUGUCAUUGGAGGGUUUUAUUCAUUUCUUGUUCUGGUUCUGUUCAUUGGUAACUGGACUUGCUGUUUAGUUAAGCUGUGUGUUUAGCUGUGUAAGAAGAAAUAGCAAAUCCAGUUGCCAAUGAACAGAACAUUUGGGGUUUAGGUAAUGACAUAGCAUAUGGGAAAUUGUUAACCCAGCUAUACAUUUAAUUUUGACAAAUAGGUCAAAUAAAACAACCCAGUGUAUAGGUCAUAUUUAACAAAACAAUAGGGUUAAUUUGACUCGUCAGGUUGGGUCAAAUAAAAUAACCCAAUGUAUGGGUAAUAAUGAACCUAACGGUUGGGUUAAUUUGACUCACUGGUUGGGUCACAAAAACAACCCAGCAUGCUGGGUUAAAAUAAUCCUGGGUCAAAACAACCCAAUGUGUGUUCUGUAUAUAGUGUCCCAGCAGCUGGGUUACGGUUGGGUUAUUUUUUAACCCAGCAUUUUUUAGGGUGUGUGGUGUGUAAAUGUCAACAGUACAUUUCAGCAAAUAACAGACUGAGGAGAACCCGAACAACACAAGGAUUACAGGAAUUCACUUUACAGCAGAUAAUCGGUCGUUCAGGAACUUAAAAGGCACUAGUCUUUUUUCUGAGUGUAACACAAUGCUUGGAUAGAAUUUAGUCUUUUUUUAUUUCUUUUUAUUUGUUUUUUUAUUUUUAUUUAUUUUCUCUCCCUGGUGGUGGUGGUAAUGCACCUUUUAGUUGGUUGCCCCUUGACAUUUAAAAGACAAAAAGAAGAACAAGAUGCUGAGAGACAAUGCGACACUCUGCGACAACAGUACGAGAAUUUUAACAAGGUGACGCGUAACCGUUAAUAACCAACAGCUCGAUAAGCUAUCCUCCAAUAAAUAUAUAAUUGAUGCUUCAUCCUACGAAAACCAAUCAACCAUCUUACCACUCUGGAUAACACUGAAGAAAGUUUUGAGUACAUCAACAAGUUCAAUUUAAUUCAAUUCAAUUUUAUUUAUAAAGCACCAAAUCACAACACGGUUAUCUCAAGGCACUUUACAAGGUAAGGUUUAAGACCUCACACAACUGAACCUAACAAGUCCCACAUACAGCAAACCUUUUUUUGUAAUUAAUUACAAUUUACCGGCAUCAGUGGAGAGGAAUAACUCCCUCUCUAAUGAGGAAGAAACCUCCAGCAGAACCAGGCUGGAUGUGGGCGGCCAUCUGCCUCGACCGUUAGGGUUGAGGUGAGGGGAGAGAGAUAGAGAGAAAAGCACAGCAACAAGAAGCAACAACAGAGUUGAGUAUCACAAUGGCAAGAUGGUGGAAGGACCCAAAUGCACAGCGUGGCUUGGAUAAAAGUUGUAUUUAAUAAAGAUGUGGUCAGGCAGGCAAUGGUCAUACACAGAAUUGGCAAAACAUGGUCUGACAAGGUGUAGGCAAAAGCGUGGUCAAAAAACAAGCAGUGGUCGAAAAUACAAGACUGGAAUAUCAGAGGCUGGACAAUAGACAAGACGGGAUUACCAAACGGGAUCAUGCACAGGACUCCACACACGGCAAUGCCGGAAUGGGUCAUGAAAACGACGACAAUCUGGCGGGGGACUAUGGCAAGAGGAGGUGAUUAAAUACAGGUAAGUAAUUACUAACAGGACACAGGUGAGUUAACUAAAACCAAAAGUAAAACUAGAACUGCUGAUGUUGAUGCUGGAACAGGAAGUCGUGACAAAAUAAAACCGGAAAUGAGUAAUGCAGUGGCUAAAUGACAUGAGCUGUGACACACAGGCAGGAUGGUUGGAUCUGCAACGGCCCAUCACAGACACAAAGCUCUGAGGCCAAUGAAACCUAUAGGUGAGGAGUGGGGGAGAGAGAGACAAUGGCUGAGAAGCACAACUACUGGAGAGAAAGAGAUAAGGUUAGUUAAACAUGGAACAAUGAUGGGAGGUUAUUGGACAGAAGAGGUAGAAGGAAACAGAGGAGCUCAGUGUAUAAAUGAAGUCCCCCAGCAGUCUAUGUCUAUUGCAGCUCAACUAAGAGAUGGUUCCUGUGACUAACAAUCAUUGCCAGUGUCCUGAACCAUCUCUAACUAUAAGUUUUAUCAAAAAGGAAUGUUUUAAGCCUAAACCUAAACAGGGAAAUGGUUCCAUAGGAGAGGAGCUUGGUAGCUAAGAGCUCUGCCUCCCGUUCUACAUUUAAAGACUCUAGGAACCACAAGUAGCCCAGCGCUGUGUUUUGCUGGGAGCAUAAGGAACUAUGAGGUCUUUAAGAUAAGAAGGAGCUUUAUCAUUGAGUACUUUGUAUGUGAGUAGGAGAAUUUUAAAUUCUAUCCUACAUUUUACAGGCAGCCAGUGCAGAGAAGCUAAUGUACUGUAGGAGAAAUGUGAUCUCCCUUUCUAAGUCCCAUCAGAACUCUGGCUGCAGCAUUUUGAAUAAGCUGUAGGCUUCUUAAGGAGCUGUUGGGACAUUCUACGAGUAAGGAGUUCAGCCCAGAGGUAAAAAAUGCAUGAAUCAGUUUCUGAUUUUAGCUAUAUUUCUAAGGUGAAAGUAGGAGAUUUGUUUAAUUUAUGAUGUAAAAAAGAGAUCCUGGUCAAAGAUGACACCAAGGUUCCUCACAGUAGAAUCUGAAGCUAAUGUUGUGCCAUCCAGGGUGGCUAUCUGACUCAAUAGUGUCUCUCUGUGAUUUUUAGGCCCAACAAUAAGAAUUUUGAUUUUAUCUGAAGUCCUGGGACAUCCAGGAUUUGAUGUCUUUUAAAAAACUUUUGACUAGUUGAUCUGUUUCAUUUGGUUCCAAAGACAUAUAUAGCUGUGUAUAAUCUGCAUCUGAAAAUUUAUAGAAUGCUUCCUAAUAAUUUCACCUAGAUGAGACAUGUAUAGACAGUAUAAACAGUAUUGGACCAAGCACCGAACCCUGUGGUACUCCAAAGCUAAUCCUUGGGCAUAUGGAGGAUUUUUCGUUAACAUAAACAAACUGGAUUCUGUUUGACAAAUAGGAUUUAAGUAUUAUGUGAUCAUGUGUAAAAAUAUGUGUGCAUACAUGUAUGUGUACGGUUAAAUUUAUGUAUGAGUGGAUGCACACACAUAUUACUGUACUGUAUAUAUACACCCAUAUUAUUAUAGGUAUUAAUACUAAUUUAACAGUCAACAAUAGUACAGCAGUAACUCAGUUGAAUGAGAAUGUUCCGGCCUAAUGUGUAUUUUUUGUUGCACUGUCUCUACUUUUUCCAUUCAUUUAAACUUUAAACAAGCAAAAUGUAAACUCACAUUGCUGUUUAAUGUUUAUAAAAGGAGAGAAACAAAUUUCUUAACAGUGACCUUCAUACAUGCCUCUGUAAGCUCCAUGUCCAGAAGUCAACAGGGAUGGAGUACUAAUUUUAAGUCCAUAUAUGAGACAGCCAGUGCAGUCAGUCUAUACCAGGGGUGUUUUUUCCUGGUCCUCGAGAGCUACUGUCCUGCUGGCCUUCCAACUCUCUCUGCCCCAGC